CUAAGGAACGGUUCCUAAUGUGUGGAAGAAGCGGCUCUUGUUAUACACGUGUAGCUAGGGUAUUGGUUUUGUGAUAGCGAGACGAGAAGAAAAUUCCAAGUCGACGAACGAUGAACUCGGUGCCCUCAGGCGACGCUGAGAUCGGAGGCAAAGGAUGGGAGAUCGCCGUUGGCUACUCCGAUGACGAUUCCGACGCCGGUUCCGGCUAAAGACUUGAUGAUAGUGGGAUCGGCGCCGUAUAGCCUCACUUUUUGAAUGGAGGUGGAUCGGAGGAGCUUGGCUGCAUCAGAGGGUGACGGGAGGUUGUCGGCAACUAAGCCGUAGUUUACUGUGCAUUUGCCGGCGAGAUGGAGAAGAGAAAGGAGGAGAGAGAAGAAGAAGAUGAAGAAAGCCAUGAAAGAAGAUGAAUGUAGAACAAGCGAGGUUUUGACCAAGGAUGAUGAUGAGGCAGACAGACACUGUGUUUGUUUUCAUGAAAGUGUUGAUGCUGGCUUCAUGUGGUUUGAUUCUUGACAGACUUUGUGUUUGUUUUCAUUUCCAAUGUGUGUUUAGUUUGACUUUCUUGGUAAAGAUUCAAUCAGAUAUGAGAAUACGGUUGAAGUUGAGUCUCCUGUUUACAAGCCAUUGGACAGUUCAAGGCUGGUAAAUCAAAUUCAGACGAUCUUUUUGAUGACAUAGGUCAAGCAAACUAAGCGAUCAUCUUAAGGAGCUUAUGCCUGGACUCACAGCUAAAGUAUUCCGUACAUACAAUGCAUCCAUCACUCUGGACAAAACGGUAUGAUUGAAACCAUGUGCCCCUCUGUUGUUGUUUAACUUCCAAAGUUUCUUAAUCUGAUUGUUCUACCAAUUUAUGUUUUUAUGUUUAUAUUUUAAAAUUUAUGUUUAAAAUGUUAUUUUUGACUAUGUUUUAUUUAAUAAAUAAAUUUUAUUUUUAAUAAAA